CAAUACAAAGACUUCUCGGAUAUGGAAGUUGGUGUAAAUCCAACACGGUCCCGCCACUGUGAGAGCAUCAAUGAUGUUCAAGUCAGAUUUUUAUCCUAGAAUGCUCAAAUGCAUGUACACUGUUUCGAGGAAAAGCAGGAG
rnacentral:sRNA from 1 species